AUGACUGGGGUGAAGUCGUAACAAGGUAGCCGUAGGGGAACCUGCGGCUGGAUCACCUCCUUAAUCGAAGAU
rnacentral:rRNA from 2 species